AACUCUUUGGAGACAUCCACUAAAAUUGGAAUGAUACAAGAAGAUUAGCAUGGCCCCUAUGCAUGGAUGACAUGCACAAAUCAAACAUUUGGUUCAGUGGU